rnacentral:rRNA from 1 species
UACGUAGGGUGCGAGCGUUGUCCGGAAUUAUUGGGCGUAAAGGGCUCGUAGGCGGUUUGUCGCGUCGGGAGUGAAAACAUCGGGCUUAACUCGAUGCUUGCUUUCGAUACGGGCAGACUUGAGGUAUGCAGGGGAGAAUGGAAUUCCUGGUGUAGCGGUGAAAUGCGCAGAUAUCAGGAGGAACACCGGUGGCGAAGGCGGCUUCCUGGACCGAAACUGACGCUGAGGCGCGAAAGCUAGGGGAGCAAACGGG